AGAGUUUGAUCAUGGCUCAGAUUAAACGCUGGCGGCAUGCCUUACACAUGCAAGUCGAACGGCAGCACGGGGGCAACCCUGGUGGCGAGUGGCGGACGGGUGAGUAGAGCAUCGGAACGUAUCCUGGAGUGGGGGAUAACGUAGCGAAAGUUACGCUAAUACCGCAUAUUCUGUGAGCAGGAAAGCAGGGGAUCGCAAGACCUUGCGCUCUGGGAGCGGCCGAUGUCGGAUUAGCUAGUUGGUGGGGUAAAGGCCUACCAAGGCGACGAUCCGUAGCGGGUCUGAGAGGAUGAUCCGCCACACUGGGACUGAGACACGGCCCAGACUCCUACGGGAGGCAGCAGUGGGGAAUUUUGGACAAUGGGCGGAAGCCUGAUCCAGCCAUGCCGCGUGAGUGAAGAAGGCCUUCGGGUUGUAAAGCUCUUUCAGCGGGGAAGAAAUUGCACGGGUUAAUACCCUGUGUAGAUGACGGUACCCGAAUAAGAAGCACCGGCUAACUACGUG
rnacentral:rRNA from 1 species